UCAAUACAUUUUUUUAAGUUCUGUGUUUUUUAGAUCUGUAUUGGAGGUCAUUGGUUUCUGUCAGCUAUUUCUGCCAGACUGGUUCCAAAUGGAACCCUAUUCCCUAUAUAGUGCACUAGUUUUGAACAGAGCCCUAUGGGGACCCUGGUAUAAAAAAAUUAGUGCACUAUAUAGGGAGUAGAGUUCCAUUUGGGACUCACACAGCAUCUACAGAUUAAACUGUGAAGUCUAGAAACAGUGUGACCUAUUUCUGCCAUCGUAGUUAAUGUUAUGACACUGAAACAAACAGAAACAGGGUACCUCUGUCUGGGUGCCAUGAGGGAGGUAACCAGGGAUACUAGUCUGGUGUUCUCAUUGGCAUCUCUCUGUCUGGGUGCCAUUAGGGAGGUAACCAGGGAUACUAGUCUGGUGUUCUCAUUGGCUUCUCUCUGUCUGGGUGCCAUGAGGGGGUAACCAGGGAUACUAGUCUGGUGUUCUCAUUGGCAUCUCUCUGUCUGGGUGCCAUUAGGGGGGUAACCAGGGAUACUAGUCUGGUGUUCUCAUUGGCAUCUCUCUGUCUGGGUGCCAUUAGGGAGGUAACCAGGGAUACUAGUCUGGUGUUCUCAUAGACAUUUGUCUCUCUGUCUGUGUGUUCUAGUCUAAUAAAGUCUACAAUCUCUACAAGGUUACAGAGUGAAAUUCAACCGUUCAACAUCACUAUACCUUUAAAC